rnacentral:rRNA from 1 species
CCUGGUUGAUCCUGCCAGUAGUCAUAUGCUUGUCUCAAAGAUUAAGCCAUGCAUGUCUAAGUAUAAAAGUAUUCUAUACUUGAAACUGCGAAUAGCUCAUUAAAUCAGUUAUAGUUUAUUUGAUGGUGCCUUACUACAUGGAUACCCGUAGUAAUUCUAGAGCUAAUACAUGCCAAGAAAGCCCUGUCGUAAGGCAGGGUUGUAUUUAUUAGAUAAAAAACCAUUACUCGCAAGGGUUUUUGUGGUGAUUCAUAAUAACUGUUCGAAUCGCGGCGCAAGCUGCGAUUGAUCAUUCAAAUUUCUGCCCUAUCAGCUCUCGACGGUAGUGUAGUGGACUACCGUGGCAUUAACGGGUAACGGAGAAUUAGGGUUCGAUUCCGGAGAGGGAGCCUGAGAAACGGCUACCACAUCCAAGGAAGGCAGCAGGCGCGCUAAUUACCCAAUCCUGACACAGGGAGGUAGUGACAAAAAAUAACAAUACCGGGCGCUUCGCGUCUGGUAAUUGGAAUGAGUACAAUUUAAAUCCCUUAACGAGGAUCAAUUGGAGGGCAAGUCUGGUGCCAGCAGCCGCGGUAAUUCCAGCUCCAAUAGCGUAUAUUAAAGUUGCUGCAGUUAAAAAGCUCGUAGUUGAAUUUCUGGUACGAUGUGCCUGGUCCACGGCCGCAAGGCCGCGCGUAUCGGAGUACGUCUGCCAUCCUUCUAGUUAACUGGCUAUACUUAACUGUGUGGUCAGCAACCUAGAUCUUUUACUUUGAAAAAAUUAGAGUGUUUAAAGCAGGCUCGCGCUGUGAAUACAUUAGCAUGGAAUAAUAAUUUAGGACUUUGCUUCUAUUUUAUUGGUUUCUAGGGGUAAAGUAAUGAUUGAUAGGGAUAGUUGGGGGUGCUAGUAUUCAUCGGCCAGAGGUGAAAUUCUUGGAUUCGAUGAAGACUAACUUAUGCGAAAGCAUUCACCAAGGAUGUCUUCUUUAAUCAAGAACGAAAGAUGGGGGAUCGAAGACGAUCAGAUACCGUCGUAGUCUCAACCAUAAACUAUACCGACUAGGGAUUAGUGGAAGUUGCUAUAUCGACUCCAUUAGCACCUUAUGAGAAAUCAGAAGUCUUUGGGUUCUGGGGGGAGUAUGGUCGCAAGGCUGAAACUUAAAGGAAUUGACGGAAGGGCACCACCAGGAGUGGAGCCUGCGGCUUAAUUUGACCCAACACGGGGAAACUUACCAGGUCCGGACAUAGUGAGGAUUGACAGAUUGAAGUUCUUUCUUGAUUCUAUGGGUGGUGGUGCAUGGCC